GAUGAACGCUGGCGGCGUGCUUAACACAUGCAAGUCGAACGAUGAAGCCCAGCUUGCUGGGUGGAUUAGUGGCGAACGAGUGAGUAACACGUGAGUAACCUGCCCUUAACUCUGGGAUAAGCCUGGGAAACUGGGUCUAAUACCGGAUAGGAGCGUCCACCGCAUGGUGGGUGUUGGAAAGAUUUAUCGGUUUUGGAUGGACUCGCGGCCUAUCAGCUUGUUGGUGAGGUAAUGGCUCACCAAGGCGACGACGGGUAGCCGGCCUGAGAGGGUGACCGGCCACACUGGGACUGAGACACGGCCCAGACUCCUACGGGAGGCAGCAGUGGGGAAUAUUGCACAAUGGGCGCAAGCCUGAUGCAGCGACGCCGCGUGAGGGAUGACGGCCUUCGGGUUGUAAACCUCUUUCAGUAGGGAAGAAGCGAAAGUGACGGUACAUGCAGAAGAAGCACCGGCUAACUACGUG
rnacentral:rRNA from 1 species